rnacentral:ncRNA from 1 species
UUCCAGCUCCAAAAGUAUAUAUUUAAGUUGUUGCGGUUAAAAAGCUCGUAGUUGGAUUUUGGGCGCAGGCGGCCGGUCCGUCGCAAGGCGUGUACUGGACGUCCUGGCCUUCCCUCCUGUUCUCCGCCGGUGCUCUUGACUGAGUGUCGGCGGCGGCCGGAACGUUUACUUUGAAAAAAUUAGAGUGUUCAAAGCAGGCUCUCGAGCCUGGAUAAUGGUGCAUGGAAUAAUGGAAUAGGACCUCGGUUCUAUUUUGUUGGUUUUCGGAGCGCGAGGUAAUGAUUAAGAGGGACAGACGGGGGCAUUCGUACUGUGCCGUUAGAGGUGAAAUUCUUGGAUCGGCGCAAGACGAACGACUGCGAAAGCAUUUGCCAAGAAUGUUUUCUUUAAUCAAGAGCGAAAGUCAGAGGUUCGAAGACGAUCAGAUACCGUCCUAGUUCUGACUAUAAACGAUGCCAACUAGCGAUCGGGGGGCGUUACAUUGACGACCCCUCCGGCAGCUUACGGGAAACCAAAGUCUUUGGGUUCCGGGGGAAGUAUGGUUGCAAAGCUGAAACUUAAAGGAAUUGACGGAAGGGCACCACCAGGAGUGGAGCCUGCGGCUUAAUUUGACUCAACACGGGAAAUCUCACCCGGCCCGGACACAGUGAGGAUUGACAGAUUGAGAGCUCUUUCUUGAUUCUGUGGGUGGUGGUGCAUGGCCGUUCUUAGUUGGUGGAGCGAUUUGUCUGGUUAAUUCCGAUAACGAACGAGACUCUGGCUUGCUAAAUAGUUACGCGACCAUCCCGGUCGGCGUUU